rnacentral:rRNA from 1 species
CGGCCAGACUCCUACGGGAGGCAGCAGUGGGGGAUAUUGCACAAUGGGGGAAACCCUGACGCAGCAACGCCGCGUGCGGGACGAAGGCCCUCGGGCUGUAAACCGCUUUCAGCAGGGAAGACAUCGACGGUACCUGCAGAAGAAGCCCCGGCUAAAUACGUGCCAGCAGCCGCGGUAAUACGUAUGGGGCAAGCGUUAUCCGGAUUUACUGGGUGUAAGGGGAGCGUAGGCGGCAGGGCAAGCCUGAUGUGAAAGCCCGGGGCUCAACCCCGGGACUGCAUUGGGAACUGCCCCGCUCGAGUGCCGGAGGGGCAGGCGGAAUUCCUAGUGUAGCGGUGAAAUGCGUAGAUAUUAGGAGGAACACCAGUGGCGAAGGCGGCCUGCUGGACGGUGUACUGACGCUGAGGCUCGAAAGCGUGGGGAGCAAACAGGAUUAGAUACCCCGGUA